ACACAGCCUGCAUCCUGAAAGGCUGGUCUCACUCCUACUGUGCUCCUGCAACAGCACCAAGUAUAUUUCCAGGCAACUGGUGAGCAGGGCUGAGAACUUGCCCCAGACCACAAGUCUCCCAGCUGAGAAAGCACAGCUCCUCAGUUGUCCCACAGAGCCUGCAGUGGCAAUCCACCUCCUUCAAAAGUUCUGUGAAUUCUCUCAGCUUUCCUGGAACACUUCAUACAGGAUGGGCCAAUAAUGCAAGGACUAAUGGGACUUGGUAGAGAGACAACGGCAUCCAAUACUGGACAGGCUAGAUGCUGACAGCUUGAUCUUGGACCUCAAGUUUUCCGAAUUGUGAUAAAUAGAUGUUUAUAAUAAAGCCACCCAGUCUGUGGUAUCUUGUUGUGAUAGCUGGACCUGACUAAUACACAGGGCAUGUGGCAAGUUUAAGGGGAAGAUGUCUUUCUGAAACAUUUGAAUCAAUCAGAAGUUCUUUUGGAACAACUAAGGAAAGAUGUCAGCUUGCUGCCUCAAAAUGCUGUUUGAUGACACUGGUUUAGAAAAUAGAAAACAGAUUUUUCUUUUCUCCGAAGAAAUAGAAAACUUUCCUCUGUACUCCAAGGGAUAUACAGGAAGAAUAGAAAUAUGAAUUUGAACUGUGACUAAGAGUCAGCAUGUACUUUCCCUUCUCUGGAAAAAGAAAAGAAAAAAGCUGGAGAAGUAAAGCUCAGAAGCACGGUUGGGUAUGGCUGAGUUAAGUAGACUACAUGAAAAAUAAACAGUCAACAAUCUUACAGAGAAAA
rnacentral:lncRNA from 1 species